UGAGGUGGCGAGUGGCGCACGGGUGAGUAAUACAUCGGAACGUGUCCUAUCGUGGGGGAUAACUGAUCGAAAGAUCAGCUAAUACCGCAUAAGACCUGAGGGUGAAAGUGGGGGAUCGCAAGACCUCACGCGAUUGGAGCGGCCGAUGCCCGAUUAGCUAGUUGGUGAGGUAAAGGCUCACCAAGGCGACGAUCGGUAGCUGGUCUGAGAGGACGACCAGCCACACUGGGACUGAGACACGGCCCAGACUCCUACGGGAGGCAGCAGUGGGGAAUUUUGGACAAUGGGGGCAACCCUGAUCCAGCCAUGCCGCGUGCAGGAUGAAGGUCUUCGGAUUGUAAACUGCUUUUGUCAGGGAAGAAAAGGUCUGUGUUAAUACCAUAGACUGCUGACGGUACCUGAAGAAUAAGCACCGGCUAA
rnacentral:rRNA from 1 species